GAGACAUGAAGGGUUCUCUUUCUAUCAGUGUUUCCACAUUUUUCAGUUACAGCAAACCUAUGUAUGGUUAGAGUUAUCAUUCAAUCAAGAUUAUUUUGUGAUAAGCUAACAUCUGCCAUUGUAUGAGAAUAUAUAUUAGAUACAUUUAUCACAGUCAAACUUGUGUCCUCUAAGCAUCAAUAGAAGCUCUUCUACUAUCUAUAGGUGCUUGAACAUUGACUGAUCCCAAAGAUGAGAGGUUUUCUUUUAAUCAUGCUGUGUGUAUGUGCCUCUGUCCAAGUUGCCCUGUCAGAUCAUGGGUGUUUCAGUCCAGAACCAGGAUAUUACAAUGAUACAGUGUGCAGUGAUUAUUGUCAGCGCCAGCUCAGCUGCGGCGGUGGACAAUGUAUCAACUUUUCAGUUUGGUCUAUUUGUGAAUGUCUUGGUUGCAAAGAGUAGCUGUACAGAUUGAAACCAAAUGAGUUACAUGUAACUCACAUAUGUGACAAUAAAUUGUUACUGAAGCAUUA